UAUGGGGUUUGAGCUAACCAGAAUUUUUCUUGUUGCUAUUUUAAAAGUGUUCAGUGUGAGGUGGAGCUGAUAGAGUCCAUAGAGGGCCUGAGACAACUUGGGAAGUUCCUGAGACUCUCCUGUGUAGCCUCUGGAUUCACCUUCAGUAGCUACUGAAUGAGCUGGGUCAAUGAGACUCUAGGGAAGGGGCUGGAGGGAGUAAUAGAUGUAAAAUAUGAUGGAAGUCAGAUAUACCAUGCAGACUCUGUGAAGGGCAGAUUCACCAUCUCCAAAGACAAUGCUAAGAACUCACCGUAUCUGCAAACGAACAGUCUGAGAGCUGAGGACAUGACCAUGCAUGG
rnacentral:lncRNA from 1 species